AUUGAACGCUGGCGGCAGGCCUAACACAUGCAAGUCGAACGCGUGGCGGACGGGUGAGUAAUGUCUGGGAAACUGCCCGAUGGAGGGGGAUAAAUACUGGAAACGGUAGCUAAUACCGCAUACCAUCGGAUGUGCCCAUAUGGGAUUAGCUUGUAGGUGAGGUAACGGCUCACCUAGGCGACGAUCCCUAGCUGGUCUGAGAGGAGGACCAGCCACAGUGGAACUGAGAAACGGACCAGACUCCUCCGGGAGGCAGAAGUGGGGAAUAGUGCACAAUGGGCUCAAGCCUGAUGCAGACAUGCCGCGUGUAUGAAGAAGGCCUUCGGGUUGUAAAGUACUUUCAGCGGGGAGGCGUUACCCGCAGAAGAAGCACCGGCUAACUCCGUGCCAGCAGCCGCGGUAAUUC
rnacentral:rRNA from 1 species